AGUUUGAUCCUGGCUCGAGGAUAGAACGCUAGCGGCAGGCUUAACACAUGCAAGUCGAGGGGUAGGUUACUUCGGUAAUUGAGACCGGCGCACGGGUGCGUAACGCGUAUACAAUCUACCUUUACAGAGGGAUAGCCCAGAGAAUUUGGAUUAAUACCUCAUAGUAUUUUUGAAUCGCAUGAUUUGAUUAUUAAAGUUCCAACGGUAUAAGAUGAGCAUGCGUCCCAUUAGUUAGUUGGUAAGGUAACGGCUUACCAAGACAAUGAUGGGUAGGGGUCCUGAGAGGGAGAUCCCCCACACUGGUACUGAGACACGGACCAGACUCCUACGGGAGGCAGCAGUGAGGAAUAUUGGUCAAUGGGCGCAAGCCUGAACCAGCCAUGCCGCGUGCAGGAAGACGGUCCUAUGGAUUGUAAACUGCUUUUAUACAGGAAGAAACCCUCCCACGUGUGGGAGCUUGACGGUACUGUAGGAAUAAGGAUCGGCUAACUCCGUG
rnacentral:rRNA from 1 species